UGGGGAAUAUUGCACAAUGGGCGCAAGCCUGAUGCAGCCAUGCCGCGUGUGUGAAGAAGGCCUUCGGGUUGUAAAGCACUUUCAGCGAGGAGGAAGGUGGUGAGCUUAAUACGCUCAUCAAUUGACGUUACUCGCAGAAGAAGCACCGGCUAACUCCGUGCCAGCAGCCGCGGUAAUACGGAGGGUGCAAGCGUUAAUCGGAAUUACUGGGCGUAAAGCGCACGCAGGCGGUUUGUUAAGUCAGAUGUGAAAUCCCCGGGCUCAACCUGGGAACUGCAUUUGAAACUGGCAAGCUAGAGUCUCGUAGAGGGGGGUAGAAUUCCAGGUGUAGCGGUGAAAUGCGUAGAGAUCUGGAGGAAUACCGGUGGCGAAGGCGGCCCCCCUGGACGAAGACUGACGCUCAGGUGCGAAAGCGUGGGGCAGCAAACAGGAUUAGAUACCCUGGUAGUCCACGCUGUAAAACGAUGUCGAUUUGGAGGUUGUGCCCUUGAGGCGUGGCUUCCGGAGCUAACGCGUUAAAUCGACCGCCUGGGGAGUACGGCCGCAAGGUUAAAAACUUAAAGG
rnacentral:rRNA from 1 species